GUUUAUUACAGGAGACAAGAUUAAGAAAUAAUAGCCAGGUUUUUUGUGCUAAAAGAGAGUGGACAAUGGGCCCAUCUUAUUGGUCAUUUGGACUGGAAAGUUAUGAUGGUGUGGGUAUUUUGUUUAAGAACUGUGAUUUUCAAAUUGAUCGGAUAGUGGAAAUUGUUGCAGGUAGAUGCCUUUUGUUAGAUUUUACGCUUAAUGAUGUGAGAUAUCGAAUAAUUAAUAUAUAUGCUCCUCAGAUAAUAGCAGGUAGGAAAAAAGUGUUUUUAAGUGUAAAACCAUAUUGUUUCACAUCCAAAGUGUUAAUUAUGGGAGGUGAUUUUAAC